rnacentral:rRNA from 1 species
GACGAACGCUGGCGGCGUGCUUAACACAUGCAAGUCGAACGGAAAGGCCCUGCUGUUGUGGGGUGCUCGAGUGGCGAACGGGUGAGUAACACGUGAGUAACCUGCCCUUGACUUUGGGAUAACUUCAGGAAACUGGGGCUAAUACCGGAUAGGAGCUCCUGCUGCAUGGUGGGGGUUGGAAAGUUUCGGCGGUUGGGGAUGGACUCGCGGCUUAUCAGCGUGUUGGUGGGGUAGUGGCUUACCAAGGCUUUGACGGGUAGCCGGCCUGAGAGGGUGACCGGCCACAUUGGGACUGAGAUACGGCCCAGACUCCUACGGGAGGCAGCAGUGGGGAAUAUUGCACAAUGGGCGGAAGCCUGAUGCAGCAACGCCGCGUGCGGGAUGACGGCCUUCGGGUUGUAAACCGCUUUCGCCUGUGACGCAGCGUGAGUGACGGUAAUGGGUAAAGAAGCACCGGCUAACUACGUG